rfam:Acromyrmex echinatior unplaced genomic scaffold scaffold507, whole genome shotgun sequence.
AAAAUUGUACUUCACAGAACGAUUUCUGUAACAGUUGAUUUUAUUCUCCUUGCUUAAUAUGAGAAUUGAUAUAAUCACGGUGAAAGCAACAGCCCUCUUUCUUGAGCGUAAGAACGACAUAAGUUCCCCAGACAUUCGUGAUCCUUCCCAUCGAUGAUCGCUCGUUCAUUACAUUCGUUAGUGCAUCUAAAUAGUAGUGAUAAUAAAAGGAAGAGCUUUCUGAGCGAU